GACGUAGGGCGCGAGCGUUGUCCGGAUUUAUUGGGCGUAAAGAGCUCGUAGGCGGCUUGUCGCGUCGACUGUGAAAAACCCGCGGCUCAACUGUGGGCUUGCAGUCGAUACGGGCAGGCUGGAGUUCGGUAGGGGGAGACUGGAAUUCCUGGUGUAGCGGUGAAAUGCGCAGAUAUCAGGAGGAACACCGGUGGCGAAGGCGGGUCUCUGGGCCGAUACUGACGCUGAGGUGCGAAAAGCGUGGGGGAGCAAAACAGG
rnacentral:rRNA from 1 species